GACGAACCGAGCGAACGUUAUUCGGAAUCACUGGGCUUAAAGGGCGCGUAGGCGGGCGAUCAAGUCAGGGGUGAAAGCCCCCAGCUCAACUGGGGAAGUGCCUUUGAUACUGGUCGUCUCGAGGGGGAUAGGGGCGUGCGGAACUUCCGGUGGAGCGGUGAAAUGCGUAGAUAUCGGGAGGAACACCUGUGGCGAAAGCGGCGCACUGGACCAUAACUGACGCUGAGGCGCGAAAGCUAGGGGAGCAAACAGG
rnacentral:rRNA from 1 species